rnacentral:lncRNA from 10 species
GAACACUUGGGUUGCAAGAAACAGGAACUGAGUCUCUGAUUAUCCGAGGGAAUUCCCAUCAGCCUGCUUGGAUCCCGUGCCCACCCCUUGGGUGCGAUUAUGGAAUGGAUACUGCACAAUCAAAAAACUGCUGUUCACCACGAGAGGACUCUUGUUUCCUCUUUACUGAAAAUGGCCUCUGUAACAAUGUUCAUGGGUAGGAUAGUUCACAACUUCACAUGUAAGGUGGAAAUAAUUUUGUGUCUUGGGCAGAUUUGGUUUUUUUGGGGGGAUUUUUAUGUUCAUUUAUUUAAUGUUGGAGCUUUUUAGAAGGAAGGGUGAGCAAUAGAGGAAAUUAAUAGCAUUAUAAUUGUCUAGCUUUUAAAAGCAAAUUCAAUUUAAAUACAUGAGAAAUGCUGUCAUCAUCACAAUCUACUGAUUACCUGAACUCCAAAAAUAUCCCUCUGGCUCACAUUCUAAGACCAGUUGGACUCCUCCUGGUUUGACUCAAAAGCUCAGAACCAAAUUUUGGCCCACUGAUGUUAAGUGUGUGGUUUUUAGCCUUAUUCCAAUUUUAUGUAUCCAUACUUGUUUUUUAUUUUUUGCAUCACUACUUCCGAAACUCUACCCACUUUCUCUUAUGCAAUGUUUCCUGCUUUUGGAAUUUUGAUUAAAUAUGAUACAAAACAAGUUGGGCAAUGUAGUGAUGAUGAUGAUGGUGGUAAAGAUGAUAAUUUGCAUGCACGGACCCAAUAGGAUGAAAUGGGUCAGCUUUGGUCAAAGCUCCAUUGGAGUCAAUAGGUGUCAAGUACUCCCACAUUUCACAGGUUGGUACAGAUCC